rnacentral:sRNA from 1 species
UUCUACUCGCGUUACCGAUUGCAACGGCAUCCUUUUGUUUUUCUUUUAAAACAAAAGAUAUAGUGGAAAGCGGGACCUUUU